CCUUGGCCACCACCUCGUUCCAUGCAGGGAGCUGGAACAUCUUCAGUGCCAACAAUACCCUUCUGCCUCACCUCUCAACUGGGAGCCCUGGAUCAGAGGUUUUGUAUGUGUGAUGCAGUCAUUGUAGCUGUGACCUGCACACAGUUUGUCUCCAGAGGAUAUGAGCACCUACCCCAUCCCCCACUGAACUGCAGUCCGGGCCUAUGCCCUACAAUUGGUGAGCUGCUGUUGGCCACAACAACAUGGGGAAGAAAUGCACCUUUUAACAACCCACUCUCCAUGUUGGUGAUGAGCACAAACAAAUAGCAAGGAACAAAGAUCAAGGGCUCUAAGACACCAGCAGCGAAAUGGUUCUUGGAAAUGAACAAGGCCAACGAAUCUUCACUUCAGCAGCCCAGCUAGAAGAUCAGGAAGUGAGUUCUAUGUCGUGUCUUUUGCCAACUCUGUUGGAAGCUACACAUCGUCAGCAGCUCCUCCCCACGCACCAAGUUUAACAAUUAUGUGCACUUUGUAUGUGAAAUGGCUUGAUGGGUAAGCUAUUAGGAACUUUUCUGCUAAAGUCCACCCAGACUGCAAGGUUACAUGUUCAGUAGCCAGGCAGAGGCAGCAAAAUGCAGAAAAAGGAGUUAAAAAAUAACUUUAACUUUGCUUGCUGGGAACAAGGUUUCUAGCAUUUUUCACCUCUGCAGAAGAAACUUGGAAGUUAGCAGCCAGGUUGGUGACUCUAAAACUCUCCCUUCUUGCUCAGUGGGGGAAACUGAGGCACUGCAAGGGACAGUGACUUGCCCAUAGUUGAAUGCAAGAUCAGUAGCAGAGCUGGUGACAGAACUGAAGUGUUCUCAUUCCCAGGGAUCCCAUGUGAAGCAGGAGACUCUGGCCUCCUCGUUUUCAGAGCCAUUUUAAUUGGAGUCCAGCUGUUUUUUGCUUUGUCCAUCAGAUAAUGAAGAAAACACAGUAAGCAAAAAUAGCCUCUCAGGGGUUGUAAACCAGGUUUGAGGUCUCCUAAGCCACCCCAGUGGCAGCUGUUUCUUCUGUUAAUGGGAUUGGGAGAGAAGUCAGAAGUGCUCGGUGGUCAUUUUCUAUCUGCUGAAAGACAACAGAGGCUCUUUCCAUAGCUAAGCAUGAUUCUCCUGUAGCUCACAUGACAGAGGGCUGCUGUCUGCAUUUCUAGUUUCUGGUCUCAAGUCCAUUCACAGUGGUCCAGUUUAUCUGGCAACUGCUUGAGGUCAAAUAUUUCUCUUGGUUCCCUAUC
rnacentral:lncRNA from 1 species